CCUACGGGAGGCAGCAGUGGGGAAUAUUGGACAAUGGGCGAACCCUGAUCCAGCCAUGCCGCGUGAGUGAUGAAGGCCUUCGGGUUGUAAAGCUCUUUUGGCGGGGACGAUGAUGACGGUACCCGCAGAAUAAGCCCCGGCUAACUUCGUGCUAGCAGCCGCGGUAAUACGUAGGGUGCAA
rnacentral:rRNA from 1 species